UCAAGCGACUCGGUCGCAGAGUGAAAAGGGGAUGGCUCAGGCGUCGCGUCCUCUCCGGCAGUGGCUAGGAUGGCAUCAGCAGUGCUGCUCCCGCGCAACAUUCAACCAUUUCCUCAGCCCCUACUUCACCGCAUUUCUCCCCUCUCGCCGGGACCUCCAUCGCCGACCCGGUGGACUCAGACUGCGCGAUGCUCCUCCGCCGUCCGAUCCCCAAGACGGCCUCGGUGACUCGGAUCUCGACGUCAAGCGAAGCCGGAACGAGAAGAAGCGAGAGGCUCGCCGCGCCGUCCGUUGGGGCAAAGAGCUCGCCGCCUUCCCUGCCCCUCAGAUCAAACGAAUCCUCAGAGUGGCGUCUCUUGAGCGAGAGGUGUUCGAUGCUCUUAUGCUGGCAAAGAGAUUGGGACCUGAUGUACGAGAAGGAAAGCGAAGGCAGUUUAAUUAUAUAGGAAAACUGCUAAGGAAAGCAGAACCUGAACUGAUGGAUGCUUUAAUCCAGGCCUCAAAGGAUGGGGACCAAAGUCAGUUUCAGGAUAUUUCUGAUUCAGGGGCAAGGAUUGCUGGGAACAAUGAUGAAGAAGCUGAAGAAACUAAAUAUGAGGAGGGACCUUAUGACUACAUUGAUAGAGCAACCAGAUGGUUUGAAGGACUGAUCAGUAAGGAUAUUGACAUUACCAAUGAAGUUUAUUCAGUUCAUAGUGUUGAGUUUGAUCGUCAGGAGUUGCGUAAACUUGUUCGGAAGGUGCACUCCCUAAAAGCACAACUGGUAGUUCAAGAAAAUGAGGGAGAAAUAGAGGCAUCAUUAAUGAGCGCGAAAAGGUCCCUUACCCGUUUUCUUCAUGCUCUUGCAAAGCAGAUGCCAACUGAAUAGAAAUCUGACUCAUUCGUUAUGCAAGCAUUUCGUGUCUAUGAUAUUGGAUGCUGAUAUUUAGUCUACCAAUCACAAUGUUUCCAUGCGCACCUGCUGAUGUGAUUUAAAAAGUGGAAGCUUGCGCAUCAUGGUUGCUUAAAAAAUUAUUAUCACUUUCCUAAUUGGAAUAAUACAAGAGGGAAAGGUGCUCCAUCUUGCUGGUGCAUCUAAUCAGCCGAUGACUCUGGCAACUGACAAAAGCCACCAGUAUACAUAGAAGGCGCAUGGGUACUUGAAAUUUGAACAGUUGGGAAGUUGAAACUACCGAAUAACUGCCACUCAGGAGGCCGACGAGUCAACGCAUUAGGAAGAAAUGCAUGAUGGUCAAGUUGAAAUUGUGGAGGACUUUUCUGAGGGGAAAAAACGCGUUUAGAAAGCUAUAAAUAUAAUUCCCCCAAACAGGGCCUUUACAGGAUCGCCAUCGCGGGAGGUAGGCAGCCGGCCACCAAAUUUUGACUUCCUCCCGCAUUUCGACUUCCUCACUGUUAAAGUGUUAAACCUACUUAUAACAUACUGUUGGAGGAAGGUAGGGAAAAAUCAACCAUCUAGUUUUUUAUUUUUAAUAUUCUUUCUUAUUCUAUGAAUUAGGAUAGGGAGCGUGCCAUGCAUGUGCAAGAGUAAUCAUCAUGCGCAGAAUCAGGGGCACGUGUUACGGCAGCUAUCUAGCCCAGGGCACAUGAUUGUUGUGUGAAGGUGAGAAACGUGUUGAGAACAAGUUUAAAGUUCGUAAUAGUAGGGAUGAAAUUGUAAUGAUAUUUGCAUAGUAAUUAUUUAAUAUGUGAUAAGAGAGGCCAAUUGGAAUAUCUAGAAGCUAUUUUUUUUUUUAAACUAUUUUAUAUUUGUAUAGACUCGCGAACUCAAUGCAAAUACAACAAUAAAUUAAACACAAA